rnacentral:rRNA from 1 species
AUGAUCCCUAUAGGGCGCGGUCAGCGAGAGUUCAUUAUUGGGGACAGACAGACUGGCAAAACAGCAGUAGCCACAGAUACAAUUCUCAAGAAAAAAGGGCAAGGUGUAAUAUGUGUUUAUGUAGCUAUCGGUCAAAGAGCAUCCUCCGUAGCUCAAGUAGUAACUACUUUCCAUGAGGAGGGGGCCAUGGAAUACACUAUUGUAGUAGCUGAAAUGGCGGAUUCACCUGCUACAUUACAAUACAUCGCUCCUUAUACGGGAGCAGCCCUGGCUGAGUAUUUUAUGUACCGCGAACGGCAUACUUUAAUAAUUUAUGAUGAUCUCUCCAAACAGGCACAAGCUUAUCGCCAAAUGUCCCUUCUAUUAAGUCCCGGCCGUGAGGCUUAUCCAGGGGAUGUUUUUUAUUUGCAUUCACGCCUUUUAGAAAGAGCCGCGAAAUUAAAUUCUCUUUUAGGCGAAGGAAGUAUGACCGCUUUACCAAUAGUUGAGACUCAAUCUGGAGACGUUUCCGCCUAUAUUCCUACUAAUGUAAUCUCCAUUACAGAUGGACAAAUAUUCUUAUCUGCGGAUCUAUUCCAUGCCGGAAUUCGACCCGCUAUUAAUGUGGGUAUUUCAGUUUCCAGAGUAGGAUCCGCGGCUCAAAUUAAAGCCAUGAAACAAGUAGCUGGCAAAUCUAAAUUGGAACUAGCUCAAUUCGCAGAGUGA